AGCGGCUGCAGGCUGCUAAGCGGCUCCGGGAGCUGAUUUGGAUAGAGGCUGUUGAGCAGGGCUGAAGUUGGCUAAUGCCGUGUGCUGUUGGCUUUCAACAAUUCCGAUAGAGAAACUGAAGCACAGAGAGGUUAUGCAGCUUUCCCAGGUUCAUGUAGCUGGUAAGAACAGAGUCCAUGUUCUUAUCACUCAAGAUGUUCUGUUGGGGACGGCAUGCCAUGGUCUUAAGGAUCGCCCCCUUCUCAGAUGAUCUGCUGCUCACCUCAGAUACCUACAGAGACUCUGCUGGUGCCUGUCAAAGCUCUAAUACCUCAAGGAAUGUCAGAAUAUGGGACAGAAGGAGCCAGGACAUCCACCUUGCACUGUUCUGGGAGGAAGAAAUACAUUUUCUGGCCUGCGCAGGGUGGCUCACGCCUGUAAUCCCAGGACUUUGGGAGGCUGAGGUGGGCAGAUUGCCUGAGCUCAGGAGUUUGUGACCAGCCUUGGCAACACAAGGAAACCCCAUCUCUACUAAAAUACAAAAAAUUAGCCAAGUGUGGCAGCGCGAGCCUGUAAUCCCAGCUACUUGGGAGGCUGAGGCAGGAGAAUUGCUUGAACCCAGGAGGCAGAGGUUGCAGUGAGCUGAGAUCAUGCCACUGCACUUCAGCCUGGGCGACAGAGUAAGAAUCUGUCUCAAAAAAAAAAAAAGAAGAAAUACAUUUUCUGUAUACUUAAAAAUAAUUAAAAUGAGGAGAUCGAGACCAUCCCGGCUAAAACGGUGAAACCCCGUCUCUACUAAAAAUACAAAAAAUUAGCCGG
rnacentral:lncRNA from 1 species